CACACACACACACACACACACACACACACACACACACACAGCCGCAGUGAUGCGUUUGUAUCGUCAUGCCAUGUGAUACACGACAAGCUGUUAGCAGGUUCUUACUCCACUCAAGAGGCACUCCCUCGAAUUAGCUCAGGCGGCGUGAGUUGACAAAAAUCUCUCCAAAUUAUCUAUGCCUUUCAAAAAAAAAAAAAAAAA